CAGUAGCCGCGGUAAUACGUAGGGCGCAAGCGUUGUCCGGAAUUAUUGGGCGUAAAGAGCUCGUAGGCGGUCUGUCGCGUCUGGUGUGAAAUCCCGAGGCUCAACCUCGGGCUUGCAUCGGGUACGGGCAGACUAGAGUGCGGUAGGGGAGACUGGAAUUCCUGGUGUAGCGGUGGAAUGCGCAGAUAUCAGGAGGAACACCGAUGGCGAAGGCAGGUCUCUGGGCCGCAACUGACGCUGAGGAGCGAAAGCAUGGGGAGCGAACAGGAUUAGAUACCCGCGUAGUCCCUGUCUCUUAUAA
rnacentral:rRNA from 1 species